rnacentral:rRNA from 1 species
UACGUAGGGGGCAAGCGUUGUCCGGAAUCAUUGGGCGUAAAGAGCGCGUAGGCGGUCCGGUAAGUCCGCUCUGAAAGCCCGGGGGCUCAACCCCGGGAGGCGGGCGGAUACUGUCGGGCUAGAGUCCGGAAGAGGAGAGUGGAAGUUCCCGGUGUAGCGGUGAAAUGCGCAGAUAUCGGGAAGAACACCCGUGGCGAAGGCGGCUCUCUGGGACGGUACUGACGCUGAGACGCGAA